UCUGAUAAGCAUAAGAGGAAUUUUGCUCUCCCCUUGCACUACUAGUCCAACUCAUUUGCAUCCAAUGUUGCCCGAAAUUUGAGGAAUUUAGCAGAAGAAGGGGAGUUCAAUUUUCAUCAACUCCCACUGCAUAUCAGAGAGAGAGAGAGAGAAUGGAAAGAGCACCAGGAAAUCAAAAAAUGUCAUACUAUGACCAUGUCCAAAAACGUCGCGAGGAAAAAGGCUGCCUCUAUGCUUGCUUGUUUGCAAUGUGCUGCUGCUGUUGCUACAUUGAGACUUGCGAGUGCUGUUUGGAGACUGCCUGCUGUUGCUGCUCCUAGCACUGGAUUAAGACGCUCUUCAACUUGAUUUAGCUUGUUCAUGGCGUGUUGCUGCUUUUGUUGCUACGAGACUUGCGAGUGUUGUUUGGACAUUCUGUGUUGUAAAUGCUUCUAGCGUUUCUCCGCAGAAGGGAAUGCUAUGUAUUAUGAGUCCGUUUCUCAUCCUAUUUCGUUGUCAUUUUUCAAUUAUAUUUUGUUACCUUGAGUAACCCAGAGUCACGAGUUUGUGAAUUGGGAAUUCUUUAUGAAAUAAAGGUGGUGUUCUGUUUUACUCCUAAUAAAA